GGUGGGGAGUUUGGCUGGGGCGGCA
rnacentral:ncRNA from 8 species